rnacentral:rRNA from 1 species
GAUGAACGCUGGCGGCGUGCCUAAUACAUGCAAGUCGAGCGAACGGACGAGAAGCUUGCUUCUCUGAUGUUAGCGGCGGACGGGUGAGUAACACGUGGAUAACCUACCUAUAAGACUGGGAUAACUUCGGGAAACCGGAGCUAAUACCGGAUAAUAUUUUGAACCGCAUGGUUCAAAAGUGAAAGACGGUCUUGCUGUCACUUAUAGAUGGAUCCGCGCUGCAUUAGCUAGUUGGUAAGGUAACGGCCUACCAAGGCAACGAUGCAUAGCCGACCUGAGAGGGUGAUCGGCCACACUGGAACUGAGACACGGUCCAGACUCCUACGGGAGGCAGCAGUAGGGAAUCUUCCGCAAUGGGCGAAAGCCUGACGGAGCAACGCCGCGUGAGUGAUGAAGGUCUUCGGAUCGUAAAACUCUGUUAUUAGGGAAGAGCAUAUGUGUAAGUAACUGUGCACAUCUUGACGGUACCUAAUCAGAAAGCCACGGCUAACUACGUG